rnacentral:rRNA from 1 species
CCUACGGGAGGCUGCAGUGAGGAAUAUUGGUCAAUGGACGAGAGUCUGAACCAGCCAAGUAGCGUGAAGGAUGACUGUCCUAUGGGUUGUAAACUUCUUUUAUCAAGGAAUAAAACGAGGCACGUGUGCCUUUUUGCAUGUACUUUAUGAAUAAGGAUCGGCUAACUCCGUGCCAGCAGCCGCGGUAAUACGGAGGAUACGAGCGUUAUCCGGAUUUAUUGGGUUUAAAGGGAGCGUAGAUGGGUUGUUAAGUCAGUUGUGAAAGUUUGCGGCUCAACCGUAAAAUUGCAAUUGAUACUGGCAGUCUUGAGUACAGUUGAGGUAUGCGGAAUGCGUGGUGUAGCGGUGAAAUGCGUAGAUAUCACGAAGAACCCCGAUUGCGAAGGCAGCUUACGAAACUGUAACUGACAUUGAUGCACGAAAGUGUGGGUAUCGAACAGGAUUAGAUACCCCGGUAGUC